CUCAGUACAAUGCUCCGCCCUCGGUAAGCGCUCAAUAAAUAACCACGCUGGAUGAUGAUGGUGAUGACGAGUGGGCGAAGUGGUGGAAGGCAAGUGAUAACUGGUUGCGGAGAUACACCUCCACUUCAUCUGUUGCUCUGAAAUCCAUCUGCAGACCGGCCCAGAGGAGAAUUGAGGCAUGCCGAACAUCCAGUGGUUCAGUAGCGUCCAGUUCGGAAGAACUAAAAAACUUGCUGGGAAAUUUAUCUGCCCCAGGAUUGACAUCAACCUAGGCUCCUAGAAACCAGUGCUACCCCUGACAGAGGACCAGAAAGACGCUAUCGCCAGAGACGACCUCCUUCUUGACAUUUCCCCUCAUCCGGGCCUUCCUCCUCCCCACAGACAGCCACAACUCUCCAGUGCCGCAGUCCCUGACAUCCUGCUUCCAUGACGUCAGCCCCUGGACGAGGGAGGGGCAGGGGGCUCCUCUCUCCCAGCCUCGCAAGGUGGACCCUAUAGAAGUCAGCACCUAUGGAGGAUUUGUCUCUGCUCGUAUCCUGAGGGAGGGUGAAGCAACUUUAUUCUUCUCCCACUCAUGCCAAUCAAGAUCUAACAAGAUUUUGUUUCCGUCCCCCAACGCCUCACUGGCUCGCUUGUUUGUGCGUCCCAUCAGAUUCAGCAGAUGUUUCCUUCCUUCCUGAUUUGGCCUGUUAUGGCUGACCGAGUGUGGAGUUUUGCCGCUCUCCUAAUUAUUUAUUCUGAUUGUAAAUCCCUCGGGAAGGAUCCAGCUCCGACAAGUUCAUCUGUAUUUUGCUGCCGCUCAAUAAACGUUUAGCAAGUUAACUGCCAGCUUUUUCAGAUCUCGACUCCCCAAAUACCUGACUACAAGUUUCUCCAAUUAUUCAAAAGAGAGCUUGACCCCCGAGAGUUAUCGCCUCACCCUUCCCUUCACUAGAAAUCAAAAUAAUCCUUUAUUGUUCAUCUAGCCACUCCUCAAACUUCCUCAGAAGAUUUGGAAGGGUAAAUUUCAUUCUUCAGACAUUCAGCUGCUUCAGGCAUCAGCUCCAUUUGCAGGGCUGAGCAUGUGUGAUAGCGGCCAG